AUUGAACGCUGGCGGAAUGCUUUACACAUGCAAGUCGAACGGCAGCACGGACUUCGGUCUGGUGGCGAGUGGCGAACGGGUGAGUAAUGUAUCGGAACGUGCCCAGUCGUGGGGGAUAACGUAGUGAAAAUUACGCGAAUACCGCAUACGAUCUAUGGAUGAAAGCGGGGGAUCGCAAGACCUCGCGCGAUUGGAGCGGCCCAUAUCAGAUUAGGUAGUUGGUGGGGUAAAGGCCCACCAAGCCAACGAUCUGUAGCUGGUCUGAGAGGACGACCAGCCAAACUGGAACUGAGACACGGUCCAGACUCCUACGGGAGGCAGCAGUGGGGAAUUUUGGACAAUGGGCGAAAGCCUGAUCCAGCCAUUCCGCGUGCAGGAUGAAGGCCCUCGGGUUGUAAACUGCUUUUGUACAGAACGAAAAGGUUUCUACUAAUACUAGGAGCUCAUGACGGUACUGUAAGAAUAAGCACCGGCUAACUACGUGCCAGCCGCCGCAGUAA
rnacentral:rRNA from 1 species